UGGGGAAUAUUGCACAAUGGGGGAAACCCUGAUGCAGCGACGCCGCGUGAGCGAAGAAGGCUUUCGAGUCGUAAAGCUCUGUCCUAUGAGAAGAUAAUGACGGUAUCAUAGGAGGAAGCCCCGGCUAAAUACGUGCCAGCAGCCGCGGUAAUACGUAUGGGGCGAGCGUUGUCCGGAAUUAUUGGGCGUAAAGGGUACGUAGGCGGUCUAUUAAGUCAGGUGUGAAAGCGUGAGGCUUAACCUCAUUAAGCACUUGAAACUGAUAGACUUGAGUGAAGGAGAGGAAAGUGGAAUUCCUAGUGUAGCGGUGAAAUGCGUAGAUAUUAGGAGGAAUACCGGUGGCGAAGGCGACUUUCUGGACUUUUACUGACGCUCAGGUACGAAAGCGUGGGGAGCAAACAGG
rnacentral:rRNA from 1 species